CAGUUUGUUAUGAUGGUUGCUGCAAGUUCAGUGGGAGAGGAGCUCCUUUACUGGGCUGCUCUUCAGAAUUUUGCCCCAAGACUUGCAGAAAGGUGUUUUGGAGGCCAUAGCUAGGCAAGCACUAAGCAGGAAAAUUGCUUUGAAGUUGCGGAACUGGGCAAGUUGUUUCUAAUCGUCCUUGUUUGUGAUCUAAGUCAUUAAUUGUGAUUGAAGAAUACUAAUUUUAUAGGGUGUGAUUGUUAGAUUUAUUUAUGAUUAACUCUCUCUUUUGUUAUGUGGAUUAACAUUAUCAAUUAAUUAAGAUAUAUUUUAUUUGAUCAUUAAUAUCAAUUAUGUGAAUUAUUAAUUUAAUUCACUUACAUGUAUUAUGAUGGAUGGUAGAUUAGGCUUUUGUUAUUAACUGUCCUAUGAUGGGUUAGGUCAGUUAACUUUGCCUAAUGAGGGGACCCUGGUCUCAACUGAUAAUAUAUAAACUGCUGCCCCAUUAGACAGUUUAUCCAGAUAACGUAUUAUCAGGUGCAGAUAGCAGUUCCACCCCUCUGAUGUCUUUUCACGGUCAAACAACAGACUCACAUGUAUUCUUCAAUUCUUUCAGGUUCCCAAUUUCACAGCUAGAAGAAUGAAAAGGCAUGACAGAAGAACAAAGGACCUUAUGAAGAGAGGGCAAAGGAGAACAAGGAGAAAUAUGUCCUGGAAAAUGGUGGCUUAUAAACAGAAAAAGGAGGAGGAGGCUGCAAAUCUGAUGAAGGGUGAGAAGAGUAACCGACCGACAUAUGAUAUUUCUCUAUUCCACAAUAUUUGUGUCCGGAUUUUUGGCCAAGAUGAACUAUAUGCAUUUGGUGAGAGUGGAAGGCCUGCAUCAGGAGAUGAAGCUGCUGCGCCUCCAAAUGCUUCGCUCCAAAUAGAUCUUCUCUAUUUAGUUAUGUGAAGGUGGAUGCUUCUUCUCAAGCAUGCUUUCUCUGUAAUGGAGCAUUGGUUGUAUUUGGUGCUGGAUGUGGAGCAUUGGUAGCAUUUUUUUUGUUUCCUUAUACUUUUGGACCAUGUUUGGCAAUAGACUUGGAGACGUAGUGGUGCCAAAGGAGUUUAUUAUGCAACAUGUCACUACCAACGACUUUUUAGCCGUAAGUAAUUACUAAAAACUGUUGGUAAUACUAAUUUACACAGCUUGAAAUUCGUUGGUAAUAGGCUUGUUGGAAAUAA